rnacentral:rRNA from 1 species
UACAGAGGUCUCAAGCGUUGUUCGGAUUCAUUGGGCGUAAAGGGUGUGUAGGCGGCGCCGUAAGUCAGGUGUGAAAUCUCGGGGCUUAACUCCGAAACUGCAUUUGAUACUGCGGUGCUUGAGGACUGGAGAGGAGACUGGAAUUUACGGUGUAGCGGUGAAAUGCGUAGAUAUCGUAAGGAAGACCAGUGGCGAAGGCGGGUCUCUGGACAGUUCCUGACGCUGAGACACGAAGGCCAGGGGAGCAAACGGG